rnacentral:rRNA from 1 species
GUCGAACCUGCAUAGCAGAACGACCCGCGAACACGUUACACUACCAGGUGAUGGAAGAGGGGUGCGCCAGCUCUCCCAAGUGUCAAACCCCUGGUGGGGGACCACCCUUGGGUGGCUCUCGCUCCGAACAACGACCCCAAGGCAGCGAAAUGCGCCAAGGAAAUCAAACUGAAAUUUACACCUCCCCCCCGCUUUGCCCGGCGGCCCCAAGAGAUCUUUCUAAAACACAAACCACUCUCGUCUAUCGAUAUCUCGGCUCUCACAUCGAUGAACAAAGUACCCAACUGCCUAUACUUGUUGUGAAUUGCACAAACCCCUGAACCAUCUAGUCUUUGAACACACGUUGCACCCAAAGCCAUUAUGACCACGGCACGUCUGCCUGGGCGUCACGCAUAGGGUCCCCCCCCAACCCAUCAAUCCCUUGCUGCACUUGACGCCGACGGUCGGAUAACGGGCUCCCUUGUCUCACAUUGCGUUUGGCCCAAAUGCCAGUCCUUGGCUAUGGACAUCCCGACAAGUGGUGGAUGUAAAACGCCCUCAUCUCAUGUCGAGCGGAGACCCUUCCCCAGCAAAACCUCUUAUGACCCUGUUGCGCAGGCCACCACGCGAGCUCAGACUGCGACCCC